rnacentral:rRNA from 1 species
AGUGAACGCUGGCGGUAGGCCUAACACAUGCAAGUCGAACGGCAGCACAGUAAGAGCUUGCUCUUACGGGUGGCGAGUGGCAGACGGGUGAGGAAUACAUCGGAAUCUACUUUUUCGUGGGGGAUAACGUAGGGAAACUUACGCUAAUACCGCAUACGACCUACGGGUGAAAGCAGGGGAUCUUCGGACCUUGCGCGAUUGAAUGAGCCGAUGUCGGAUUAGCUAGUUGGCGGGGUAAAGGCCCACCAAGGCGACGAUCCGUAGCUGGUCUGAGAGGAUGAUCAGCCACACUGGAACUGAGACACGGUCCAGACUCCUACGGGAGGCAGCAGUGGGGAAUAUUGGACAAUGGGCGCAAGCCUGAUCCAGACAUACCGCGUGGGUGAAGAAGGCCUUCGGGUUGUAAAGCCCUUUUGUUGGGAAAGAAAAGCAGCAGGUUAAUACCCCGCUGUUCUGACGGUACCCAAAGAAUAAGCACCGGCUAACUUCGUG